GGGGAUUUAGCUCAGCGGUAGAGCACUUGCCUAGCAAGCGCAAGGUCCUGGGUUCGAUCCCCAGCUCCG
rnacentral:tRNA from 1 species